rnacentral:tRNA from 1 species
AAAAACUUAGGUUAACCAAAACCAAGGGCCUUCAAAGCCCUUAAUAAGGAUAUGAUUUCUUAGUUUUUG